UGGAUGUAGAGCCUGAAUUUUCUCUGGGUAUCUUGGGUGUGCAGAGUCAUUCUGCUAUUGAAUAUACAUUUUAUGACACUAAAGUUUGCAGUAGACGAAGAUGAAGAAGACAGGGGAAACUUGUAAUUUGAUCGCACUAUAAUGACUAUAUUGUUUUAAGAGUUGUUUGAGGCAUAUUACUUAUGAUUAUGCUAUGGGAAACUUGUAAUUUGUUCGCACUAUAUUGUUUAGAGAGCUGUUUGAGGCAUAGUACUUAUGAGAUCCAUGAAUGGUGGCUAAACUCUUGGAUCAUGCUAAUUUUUGUGGAUUGAUAACUUUAUGUUAUUAUUUUUAUUAAUAUGAGAUUCUUGUGGUUUGCUAUUGUGAA